rnacentral:rRNA from 1 species
UACGUAGGUGGCAAGCGUUGUCCGGAUUUACUGGGCGUAAAGAGCGCGCAGGCGGUCGUUCAAGUCGCGUGUGAAAGCCCCCGGCUCAACUGGGGAGGGUCACGCGAUACUGAUCGACUCGAAGGCAGGAGAGGGAAGUGGAAUUCCGGGUGUAGCGGUGGAAUGCGUAGAGAUCCGGAAGAACACCGGUGGCGAAGGCGGUCUGCUGGGGUCGAACUGACGCUGAGGCGCGACAGCG